GCACAAUUAUUUAUGCAAGACCUGAAGAUUACUGGCUGUGACGUCCAACAAGGAAGAAAAAAAAUUCUUCAAUACUCUUCAAGCCAAAAGGCACUGUUUUACACUGGCUUCAACUCAAAAGCCUAUUCUUCAAAGAAGACCCUGGUAAGUUGCUGGGCAGAAGAGGAAGACAAAAAGAGAAUACUUUAACCCAGGAAGGGCUCUUCCACCCCAGAGGCAGAGACACCACAGCAGAGGAAAUGUUGUGUGGAGCAGCUACGAGCAGGAACUUUUUCAGAUGACAUCAAAGGCAAGUUUCAUUCGGACCUGAAUGCACUUCAACGUGUAUCUGUACAAAUCCCACGAAGCAACCUGCAUUUGGCGCUUGUGAAAUGCACCCAUCAAGUUACCACAAAGGAAAAUGACAGCAUUGGCAAGCAGCUGCACAAGAAGAAAAAUAUUUACCUACUGCACAGCAGUCAUUGAUACUUCACUAACACACAUACUAGUCCCAUAAAAACAAUUAAUCCCAGACCGCCUUCCAUUUCCUCCUACCCUGCCACAUAACAAAUCACAGUGCUGCAAUUAGCCAGGAUGUAGCUGGAAAACAUAAGCUAACUUUCAGAGUCACCAGCAUUCCUGUACAAAUAUACAGUAGAAUAACGAAACAGAAAAUUCUGCUACAUCAUUUAACAUCUAUUUCCAGGCACCAGUGUUUGAUUUAUGGAGAAACCAGUCUACAAACUCGUGCAUCAGCACUCUGUGUGGAGUCUGGCACACACCUGCACCAAAUGAGCUGGGGUGCUCCUUUGAACACACCCUAUUAAUAAGUGUUGGGAACCCUAAAAACACUCAGCAGCACUCCCAGGCCCUGCUGCCACCCCAGGGCAGCAAUGGCCCUUUUGAUCCACCCUGUGGGCAGUGCCUGAUAAAGUUAGAUAGACCCACCUGAAACAGCACAGAUUGGGAAGAAUGAUUGUGACAAAGUUAAUCAUAUUUUUAAUAACUUUGUUUAAAAAUUAAUAGAACAAUCCUGCUUUUUCCACUUAGGUCAGAAAAACAAAAUGCAUUAUAGAUUUAAAAAUUCACAAUUUUAUGAAAAGCCCGAGUUUUUUGGGGCCCAAGCUCCAAAUCCAUGAACUUGAAACAUCCAUGUGGAAGUCUGGAACUUUUCUAAACAGAACAGUUAUGCCAAUAGCAAAUGGUAAUAUGACUGGGGUGUUUAAUUACUUAACCAAGUGGUAUUUCCUUACCUGAAAUAGAAAGGAUUCCUUCUUUUCCUGAGAAGUCAUGCUUACCACAGUGCUUAGAACAAUAAUAUGGGAGAGAGCAGAAAGAACACUAAUUAUGACAGCACCUCUCAUCCCAAAGGGUAGCAUGGUAUAAACUGUGAAGAUUAUGAACAGAAAGAACGGCACCUUUGGGAAAAGAAAAAGAGAAGAAAAAAGAAAAAAAUCACAUAUACACAUUAUUGGGUGUCUCCCAAAAAUCACUACAGAAAAAGGAGCAAAGCUGCAGGAUUUAAGACUGAACAAUUAAAUAUUCACGUUUCAAAAGCACAGUUAAAACCAUAAGGACUGUGGUAUUUCUAAGAGAUUUGAGGGAACUGGCAGCUACAGAUUCACAGACAAGAUUGUUUAACAUGACAUAUCACCUAUAAUUUUUUCAGCUGUCCUUGCCCUUUAUCCUGAAUUUAUCCAUUACAGCUCAGAUGCACUUUGGAUGCACUUUGUACUCACACGUCAGGAACAGUGUGUUGCAAGGGUAGCAAUACUGAAUGGAAUCAGAUUUCUCACCUUCUCCAAGUUAUUAUUCUAAUUUUAACAUCACCCAAUCGAUGUGUAUGUUUACCCUGUGCUUGAUAAAACCCAAAAGUCCAACCAAUGCUUCCUGGUGCUGACAAAAAAGAAUAACCUUUAUUGCCACUGACUACGUACUUAGACUUGCACAGAUUUUACAAAAUGCACAACAGGCACUAAACUUCAAGGGGUCAGUAGCAAGGCCUAUAAUACUUAAAUCCAUAUUUAUAGAUUUUUUGAAAUGUUAGCUUAUAUAUGUGGAAACUAACAACUCCGAUGAGAGGAAAAUAGUGCAGCAUUCCUGGCUCAGCUCCACCUCAUCACAGCAACUCAACUUGUGCCAUUCCAGACAGGAGCUUCCUUCGAGGAAGUCUCAAGGCCCCAUCUGCACUUAAAGGUUUUGCCAGAAUAGAUAGUUUGGUUGGGACAACAAUAAAGAAACAA